GACCAGCCUCCUGGGUACAUCCAAUGGGGCCGGAUUGUCAAAGCAGCUCCACCCGCCUGCCUGGAGCCAGAAGAGCUCAGCUCCCACCGAGGUACCCGCACAAGGGCCAGUUGUGCCAAAGAACAGACAGCUCAGUGCCCUGGCUCUCUCUGCCCGCAGUCCCCCUCUCAGGCAUAGGGAGCAUGAGACCUCCUUUGUCUCCUCUCUGGGUGGAAGUGCCGUGGGGUGGGGUGGAGAAUGUCUCUUACUCCAUGUGCAGCCCCUGGCACAGCAGGGCUUUGAUCUCCAGAGGGCUCCCAUGGGCUGCGAAUGACCAGGCCUUUGGCUGGUGAGUCUCGCUCCGAGGUCUCAGUGGCAGAAGAUCCUGGUCCAGUGUUGGCUGUGGAUCAGAGCAGACCCAGAGGGAAUGGAAAGCACAGGCGUGAAGGGCCAGGGUUGUAUGGCCAAAGCACAGAAAAUGGGGAGAGACUUGGAGAGGGGAAGGGGCAAAAACCUGCUGAGAAAAUGAAAAGCCCAAGUCCUGCCCCUACAGGAGGGGAAAGGGGAGUUUUGGAAGAGGGCUGGGGGAGGAUGGGAAAGGGACAGGGCAGUGGAGAUGCUGAUGGGGGGAGCAAAGAGGCCGGAGACAAGGCCACAGUGCUCCAGAGGAAUGGUCAGUCACUGGGGAGGUGGGGGGGGGGCUGCGAGGCAUCUUUCUGCUGUUACAUGCCCCAGAGCCCCGUCAGGGGAAGGCAAAUGAACCCAGCCACUAGCAAUGACUUCUGGACAUGCCCUGACACCUGCAUCUGGCACCAGAGGCUCAUUACAGGGAGCGCUGGUUGGAAACCCGGGUGCCUUCCUCCAGGCCUGCAAGCACUUCUGAGGGGUCCUGCUGCCCUGCCCCUCAGAAGUGGAGCUGAAACUUCCCUCCAAAGUGAGUCACGGGGAAAGCUUUCUCCACACAAAAGUCACCCCAGGGAUCACAACCCAGCUCGUCAUCCCGAGUGUGCUGGAAAAGUCAGCUCUGCUCAAGGGCCAAGGCUCGGCUAAAUCAAUCCAAUCCCCACGAGGCCGGCUGCAGG
rnacentral:lncRNA from 1 species